rnacentral:misc_RNA from 1 species
AUGUUAGCUUAUAAACACGUCACACGUUAUAUCGUCUUGCCGUGGUGCUCUGCAUGCUGCAGCCGCAUAUACGUUACCGCAUACCGCUACUCACACACUAGCACCACCGCUUCACACUCAUCAUACAUAAUGUAUUCAAUAUCAUAAUGAUCCUUCCGCAGGUUCACCUACGGAAA